rfam:Myotis brandtii contig203830, whole genome shotgun sequence.
GGUGGUUCUCGGGUGACGCACCCCAGAAUCAGGCUCCCUCCUCUCUGGUUCCGGGUGCGUCACCUGAGAACCACC